rnacentral:rRNA from 1 species
UACGUAGGCAGCAAGCGUUGUUCGGAGUUACUGGGCGUAAAGAGUGCGUAGGCGGUUUCGUAAGUUUGGUGUGAAAUCUCCCGGCUUAACUGGGAGGGUGCGCCGAAAACUGCGAGGCUGGAGUGUGGGAAAGGUAGGCGGAAUUCCUGGUGUAGCGGUGAAAUGCGUAGAUAUCAGGAGGAACACCGGCGGUGUAGACGGCUUACUAGACCAUGACUGACGCUGAGGCACGAAGGCGUGGGUAGCAAACAGG